rnacentral:rRNA from 1 species
UACAGAGGGGGCAAGCGUUGUUCGGAAUUAUUGGGCGUAAAGGGCGCGUAGGCGGUGCGGUAAGUCUUUUGUGAAAUCUCCGGGCUCAACUCGGAGUCUGCAGGAGAAACUGCCGUGCUGGAGUAUGGGAGAGGUGAGUGGAAUUCCCGGUGUAGCGGUGAAAUGCGUAGAUAUCAGGAGGAACACCGGCGGUGUAGACGGCUUACUGGACCCUGACUGACGCUGAGG